GAUGAAGAACGUAGCGAAAUGCGAUACGUAAUGUGAAUUGCAGAAUUCAGUGAAUCAUCGAAUCUUUGAACGCAUAUUGCGCUCUUUGGUAUUCCGAAGAGCAUGCUUGUUUGAGUAUCAGUAAACACCUCAAAGCUUUUGGAUUUUUUAAUCGAAAAGCUUUGGACUUGAGCAAUCCCAACACCAAUCUUUUUGAGAUCGGUGGCGGGUUGCUUGACAUGCAGAUGUAGCUGGACAUUCUCCUGAGCUAAAAGCAUAUUCAUUUAGUCCCGUCAAACGGAUUAUUACUUUUGCUGCAGCUAACAUAAAGGGAGUUUGACCGUAUUGGCUGACUGAUGCAGGAUUUCACAAGGGUCGGCAACGAUUCUUGUUAAACUCGAUCUCAAAUCAAGUAAGACUACCCGCUGAACUUAAGCAUAUCAAUAAGCGGAGGA
rnacentral:misc_RNA from 1 species